GACGAACGCUGGCGGCGUGCCUAAUACAUGCAAGUCGAACGAGAGCAACCGGUGCUUGCACUGGUCAAUCUAGUGGCGAACGGGUGAGUAACACGUGGGUAACCUGCCCAUCAGAGGGGGAUAACAUCCGGAAACGGAUGCUAAAACCGCAUAGGUCUUCGAACCGCAUGGUUUGAAGAGGAAAAGAGGCGCAAGCUUCUGCUGAUGGAUGGACCCGCGGUGCAUUAGCUAGUUGGUGAGGUAACGGCUCACCAAGGCCGUGAUGCAUAGCCGACCUGAGAGGGUGAUCGGCCACAUUGGGACUGAGACACGGCCCAAACUCCUACGGGAGGCAGCAGUAGGGAAUCUUCCGCAAAGGACGCAAGUCUGACGGAGCAACGCCGCGUGAGUGAAGAAGGUUUUCGGAUCGUAAAACUCUGUUGUUAGAGAAGAACAAGUGCUAGAGUAACUGUUAGCGCCUUGACGGUAGCUAACCAGAAAGCCACGGCUAACUACGUG
rnacentral:rRNA from 1 species